CCCGGGGGGCUGCAGUGGGGAAUAUUGGACAAUGGGGGGAACCCUGAUCCAGCCAUGCCGCGUGUGUGAAGAAGGCCCUCGGGUUGUAAAGCACUUUCAGUGAGGAAGAACGCCUGGUGGUUAAUACCCAUCAGGAAAGACAUCACUCACAGAAGAAGCACCGGCUAACUCCGUGCCAGCAGCCGCGGUAAUACGGAGGGUGCGAGCGUUAAUCGGAAUUACUGGGCGUAAAGCGCGCGUAGGUGGCUUGAUAAGCCGGUUGUGAAAGCCCCGGGCUCAACCUGGGAACGGCAUCCGGAACUGUCAAGCUAGAGUGCAGGAGAGGAAGGUAGAAUUCCCGGUGUAGCGGUGAAAUGCGUAGAGAUCGGGAGGAAUACCAGUGGCGAAGGCGGCCUUCUGGACUGACACUGACACUGAGGUGCGAAAGCGUGGGUAGCAAACAGGAUUAGAUACCCCAGUAGUC
rnacentral:rRNA from 1 species